UUGAAAUACCAGCUAGGAGUUUGUUUUCUCAACUUCUGUACUCGGUGUUGCUCUUUAUUUAUUAAUAAAAAUUUGACUUUGUUUUUCUUUUUUUUUCUUUCUUAUUUAAAUAUUCCUUUUAGUUCUGAAAACUGGUAUCUUCUCCUGGACGUGUUUUUUUCAUAUGGUAAUGGGUUGGGAUGGUGAUUAGCGAUUAAAAAUAG
rnacentral:lncRNA from 1 species